CGACCUUAGCAUCACAAGCUAUUCUCUACAAUGUUAUGGAACGCAAAGGCGCAGUCACCCAUCCAGAGAGACCCACAGGAGCAACCAGGGUCAACCGUCCCGCCCAAGGGCACAUCGACAGAUCCACCACCCAGUCGACUUGGGGACCUAAACCAGUGACCUCCCCGCCACUGGGCCAAUGCUCUCAAACGCCAGGACACCCACUGCCCCCAAUCAUCCAAGAUAACCCCACAGUCCCCCCUGAAAAACCUCCCCCUACACGCCACCAUCCCCUUCCAACCCAACCAAAGAACCUACCCACCUGAUGCGCCAGGUCCACCCACUGGGGAGUCAAGCAUAGUCAAUCAGAAGGAUUUCUUCACCCACAAAAUGACUUUAUUACAAACAGAAACACUCUUCAGCAUCCCCCCCCCUCCUCAGAUGAUCCCACAGAUGAAGAAGACAGAUGUGGAAGUCCUGGGCUGGAUUGCUUACACAUGGUCUGCGUUGUGAGGCCGGUUGGAUUUAUUGCCAAAUUCUCUAAAGAGAAAUGAACAUUCAAUUCUCUGGCAACAGCGCUGUUGGACAUUCCUCCAGUUAGCAUGCUAAUUGCACACUCCCUCAAAACGUAAGACAUGUUAGGCAUUGUGUUGUGUGACAAAACUCUACAUGUUAGAGUGGCCUUUUAUCAACACAAGGUGCACCUGUGUAACGAUCAUGCUGUUUAAUCAGCUUCUUGAUAUGUCACACGUGUCAGGUGGAUGGAUUACCUUGGCAAAUGAGAAAUGCUCACUAACAGGGAUGUAAACAAUUUUGUGCACGUAAUUUGAGAGAAAUACGUUUUUUUUUGCAUAUGUAAAUGUCUGGGAUCUUUUAUUUCAGCUCAUGCAAAAGGGGACCAACACUUUGCUUGUUACGUUUAUAUUUUUGUUCAGUAGAAAAACAAAAGACUUCAAGGACAAUAAACAUGUAAACAGC